CCCUUAGAUGUUCUGGGCCGCACGCGCGCUACACUGAUGCUUUCAACGAGUUUUUCCCUUGAUAGAGAUGUCUGGGUAAUCUUUUGAAUGAGCAUCGUGCUAGGGAUAGUUUAUUGCAAUUAUUAAACUUGAACGAGGAAUUCCUAGUAAACGCAAGUCAUCAGCUUGCAUUGAUUACGUCCCUGCCCUUUGUACACACCGCCCGUCGCUCCUACCGAUUGGGUGUGCUGGUGAAAUGUUCGGAUCGGCCGUUUGUCGCGGUUUCCGCGUCAUGUGGCUGAGAAGUUCAUUAAACCCUCCCACCUAGAGGAAGGAGAAGUCGUAACA
rnacentral:rRNA from 1 species